rnacentral:misc_RNA from 1 species
UAUGAAGAACGUAGCGAAAUGCGAUAAGUAGUGUGAAUUGCAGAAUUCAGUGAAUCAUCGAAUCUUUGAACGCACAUUGCGCCCCUUGGUAUCCCGAGGGGCAUGCCUGUUCGAGCGUCAUUUCACCACUCAAGCCUGGCUUGGUGUUGGGCGACGUCCCCUUUGGGGACGCGCCUCGAAACGCUCGGCGGCGUGGCACCGGCUUUAAGCGUAGCAGAAUCUUUCGCUUUGGAAGUCGGGGCCCCGUCUGCCGGAAGACCUACUCGCAAGGUUGACCUCGGAUCAGGCAGGGAUACCCGCUGAACUUAAGCAUAUCAAUAAGCGGAGGA